rnacentral:rRNA from 1 species
UACGUAGGGUGCAAGCGUUGUCCGGAAUUAUUGGGCGUAAAGAGCGUGUAGGCGGCCUGACAAGUCUGCUGUGAAAACUCGAGGCUCAACCUCGAGAUGUCGGCGGAAACUGUCUGGCUAGAGUCCGGAAGAGGAGAGUGGAAUUCCUGGUGUAGCGGUGAAAUGCGCAGAUAUCAGGAAGAACACCUAUGGCGAAGGCAGCUCUCUGGGACGGUACUGACGCUGAGACGCGAAAGCGUGGGGAGC